CCCUUAGAUGUUCUGGGCCGCACGCGUGCUACACUGAGUGGAUCAGCGGGUCAGGUUGCGCGAAAGCGUUUCCUAAUCUUUAAAUCCGCUCGUGAUGGGGAUUGACGGUUGCAAUUUUCUGUCAUGAACGAGGAAUACCUUGUAAGCGCGGGUCAUCAUCCCGCGCUGAAUACGUCCCUGCCCUUUGUACACACCGCCCGUCGCUCCUACCGAUUGAUUGAUCCGGUGAAUUACAUAGAAUUUUGCGUUUUACAUGACGGAAGAUGAAGUGUUUUAAACCUUAUCAUUUAGAGGAAGGAGAAGUCGUGACA
rnacentral:rRNA from 1 species